UCAACUAGCAUUGCUGAGAGGCUACCAGCUCACAAAUCUCGAACAAUGGGCCAUGCUGCAUCAAAGUAGGCAUCAAGGGAACCUUAGCAUUGAACAUGCACAAACAAAGAACCAGCAGAGAAGAGCAAAGUCCUUAAACAUUGCCAACAUAAUAGAGGCCUGACGACCAGCACGGAUGAAGCCAGCAGGGGCAUCAAGCACAGAGAAACCGCAGCAGAAGAGAAAUAAGACUGAGAAGAACAAAAAAGACAGCAGCAACAACACUAUCCAAACCCAAAAAGGCCAUCACCAGCAGCGAAAG